AGCCUUUCCCUGGAACAAUUGUCACUCAACGUGAUCAAUAAAAUAUAUGAACUACAAAAGAAAUACUGGAAAUCCCUGAACAUCUUCACAUCAUCUCACUGCUUCUCUGGAAACUAGCUUGUAGGAAAAAUGCAUAAAAAAGCAAAUACCUUCCCUUAAAUUAGCUUGCUUGAGAGAUACAUAACAGAACUGGAUGUUUACACUACUCCAGGUCUCUGCUUGAU